GCCAGAGGGGGCAAGCGUUGCUCGGAAUUACUGGGCGUAAAGGGCGCGUAGGCGGGAUGGCAAGUCGGUCGUGAAAUCCUUCGGCUCAACCGAAGAACGUCGAUCGAUACUGCUGUUCUUGAGGGUUGCAGAGGAGACUGGAAUUCCCGGUGUAGCGGUGAAAUGUGUAGAGAUCGGGAGGAACACCCGUGGCGAAGGCGGCUCUCUGGGACGGUACUGACGCUGAGACGCGAAAGCGUGGGGAGCGAACAGG
rnacentral:rRNA from 1 species